rnacentral:rRNA from 1 species
AUUAGAUACCCCGGUAGUCCACGCUGUAAACGAUGCCUACUAGGUUGUGGUGGUUCUGACGCCAGCACAGCCGAAGCCAAAGUGUUAAGUAGUCCGCCUGGGGAGUACGGUCGCAAGGCUAAAACUCAAAGGAAUUGACGGGGGCUCACACAAGCGGUGGAGCAUGUGGAUUAAUUCGAAGCAACGCGCAGAACCUUACCUGGGUUUGACAUGCAUGGAUGCCCAUCUGGAAACAGAGUAGGCUGCCUUCGGGUGAAACUUGCACAGGUGCUGCAUGGCUGUCGUCAGCUCGUGUCGUGAGAUGUCGGGUUAAGUCCUUUAACGAGCGAAACCCUUGCCGUUAGUUGCCAGCGGGUCAUGCCGGGGACUCUAACGGGACUGCCGGUGUUAAACCGGAGGAAGGUGGGGAUGACGUCAAGUCAUCAUGGCCUUUAUGCCCAGGGCCUCACACGUGCUACAAUGGUCGGGACAGAGCGACGCAAGACCGCGAGGUGGAGCAAAUCGCAAAAACCCGGCCUCAGUUCGGAUUGCAGGCUGGCAACUCGCCUGCAUGAAGGUGGAAUCGCUAGUAAUCGCGUAUCAGCUAUGACGCGGUGAAUGUGUUCCUGAGCNUUGUACACACCGCCCGUCAAGUGAUGGGAGUUGGGAGUACCCGAAGUCGUCUUGCUAACCCCUCGGGGAGGCGGAUGCCGACGGUAGGCCCGAUGACUG